AACCUCCCUCCCUUCCUCCCUCUUUCCCUGUUUACGUGGGGAAAUUUGCACAAACCCAAAGUUAUCCUGGCCCUUUGAGGCUUGGGCUGUGCCCAGCUGCUGGCAGAGCCUGCACAGCCUGGCACAGCCCUCCCUGCUGCCCCCCUGGCACCCGCCUGCUGCGCUGAGACCACACCAACUCAUUUCACCGAGGGCGAUCAAUGACAGCUCCCCGCUGAGUAGGGCUGGACAGGGCGGUUUAACAGCCUGAUUGGCUCUGCCUGUUGGAACGAGCAGAGGAGAAGGGCUGGCGCCCCGACAGAGAGGAGGGAUGAUCAUCGGUCUCCUGGUGACACUUGGCCAACUCAUUGCAUCCGGUCUCUGCCCUCUUUUUCCAGCUGUCUGGGCUGGACUGGAGCUGCCUGGAUGGAGACGGCUGCCCUACGUGCCAUGAGUCUUCAAGCACUCCUUUGGGGGAACCUGACCUGGCUUUUGAUUUCUGAUGCUGCUCUGCAGGAGGCUGAAAUGUGGGAGAAGAUGUAGAAAAGAAUCACUACAAGAAAGCCAAGCAUGGGAGAGAACGAGAGCACACAUGCCCAGUCUGGUUAUCUAAAUGAAACAGAGAUUAAGAGGUAUAUGAGUGUUUUCUUAAAGCCAGGAAAGCUAAUUUCAGUUGUUGUAGGUAACACCGAACAUUUACAGGGGAGAAACCAACAAGACACAAACUCUACAGCCUGCUGCUGACACAAAGGACACGUUCUGACAAAGUAAAACCUCCAUCCAUUUCUCAUUGUAUUCCCAGUCUCUCUGGCUUGGCAGAAGGAAGAUGCACCACAGGUGUCGGAGACCUCACCCUGGGAAACAAAACUCUCAGACACGCCCUUCAAUCCCCUACAGCAAUCCAAACGUACAUAUUCAUCUCAACAUACCCCAAGCAGGUAUCCCACAGCACAUACCUGGGAUACCUACCACUGCUGGCUAACAACUACAUUCCUAUCAGUUCCAUGUUAGUUGAAACAUUAGGGCCACUUAAUGUAUUAUUAUCGGUGCUUGAUCUCACAAGUUUCUUAAAGAAGUUGGUGCUCAUACAGCUUGACUUUGUUAAUGUCUUAUGAGGAUAGCCGAUGCCCUUACAACUCUGUCUACACCCAUUUUAAUCUAGCACCUUUACACAUA